rnacentral:rRNA from 1 species
GGACUACCGGGGUAUCUAAUCCCGUUUGCUCCCCUGGCCUUCGUGCCUCAGUGUCAGUAACUGUCCAGAGAUUCGCCUUCGCCACUGGUCUUCCUCACGAUAUCUACGCAUUUCACUGCUACACCGUGAAUUCCAAUCUCCUCUCCAGUACUCAAGCAAGGCAGUAUUGAAUGCAGUUUCGGGGUUAAGCCCCGAGAUUUCACAUCCAACUUGCCCCGCCACCUACGCACCCUUUACGCCCAAUGAAUCCGAACAACGCUUGAGACCUCUGUAUUACCGCGGCUGCUGGCAC